rnacentral:pre_miRNA from 1 species
AACAUAAUCCCUCCGUUCUACAAAAGAUGUCUCAAGUUUUUUAAAAUUUGAAUGUAUCUAGACAUGACUUAAUGUAUAGGUGCAAUCAAAUUUAGUCAAAAUUGAAACAUCCUUUGUUAGACGGAUGAAGUAAAUA